AGCGAACGCUGGCGGCAGGCCUAACACAUGCAAGUCGAACGAACCUUUCGGGGUUAGUGGCGGACGGGUGAGUAACACGUGGUAACGUGCCUUUAGGUUCGGAAUAACUCAGGGAAACUUGUGCUAAUACCGAAUGUGCCCUUCGGGGGAAAGAUUUAUCGCCUUUAGAGCGGCCCGCGUCUGAUUAGCUAGUUGGUUGAGGUAAUGGCUCACCAAGGCGACGAUCAGUAGCUGGUCUGAGAGGAUGAUCAGCCACAUUGGGACUGAGACACGGCCCAAACUCCGACGGGAGGCAGCAGUGGGGAAUCUUGCGCAAUGGGCGAAAGCCUGACGCAGCCAUGCCGCGUGAAUGAUGAAGGUCUUAGGAUUGUAAAAUUCCUUCACAGGGGACGAUAAUGACGGUACCCGGAGAAGAAGCCCCGGCUAACUUCGUG
rnacentral:rRNA from 1 species